rnacentral:rRNA from 1 species
GUCGAACGAUGAAGCCCUUCGGGGUGGAUUAGUGGCGAACGGGUGAGUAACACGUGGGCAAUCUGCCCUUCACUCUGGGACAAGCCCUGGAAACGGGGUCUAAUACCGGAUAACACCGGCUUCCGCAUGGGGGCUGGUUAAAAGCUCCGGCGGUGAAGGAUGAGCCCGCGGCCUAUCAGCUUGUUGGUGGGGUAAUGGCCUACCAAGGCGACGACGGGUAGCCGGCCUGAGAGGGCGACCGGCCACACUGGGACUGAGACACGGCCCAGACUCCUACGGGAGGCAGCAGUGGGGAAUAUUGCACAAUGGGCGAAAGCCUGAUGCAGCGACGCCGCGUGAGGGAUGACGGCCUUCGGGUUGUAAACCUCUUUCAGCAGGGAAGAAGCGAGAGUGACGGUACCUGCAGAAGAAGCGCCGGCUAACUACGUGCCAGCAGCCGCGGUAAUACGUAGGGCGCAAGCGUUGUCCGGAAUUAUUGGGCGUAAAGAGCUCGUAGGCGGCUUGUCACGUCGGGUGUGAAAGCCCGGGGCUUAACCCCGGGUCUGCAUCCGAUACGGGCAGGCUAGAGUGUGGUAGGGGAGAUCGGAAUUCCUGGUGUAGCGGUGAAAUGCGCAGAUAUCAGGAGGAACACCGGUGGCGAAGGCGGAUCUCUGGGCCAUUACUGACGCUGAGGAGCGAAAGCGUGGGGAGCGAACAGGAUUAGAUACCCUGGUAGUCCACGCCGUAAACGUUGGGAACUAGGUGUUGGCGACAUUCCACGUCGUCGGUGCCGCAGCUAACGCAUUAAGUUCCCCGCCUGGGGAGUACGGCCGCAAG